GCCCAUCAUGGGUUUUCAAAAGUAUGUUAGCGACACAAAAUAUCCAGCUUACAGAGCGAAAAGCCUGAAAAGGUACCGCAGGUUCAAGAGGACAACACUCGCCACUACCCUAAGAAGCAACUAGCUAAAUAUUUUUCUAAUCUUGAUCGAGUUUAUUAGAAUAUGGCCAUGGUGCAAUAUCAAAUUAGUAGUAUCAUUGCUUCCAUCAUAAUUUUAUUUUAUUUUUGUAUUUCUGCAGCAUCAUGUACGGGUCAUGGCGUAGGGAAUCCCCCCUCCCUUCCGCCGCACCACCCCACACGAGGUUGUCACCGGGCAAGCCCGUGGCGCAGCUCCGGCCUGUGUCGGAGAAUCUUGGAUCUAGGGCGGCGCCCCCAGCGAGGCCCCUUGUUUCCUGCGGCGAGCAGUUGGGUUGGCAUGGUGUUGGCGAUCUGCUCGGAUGGCCGACAGAUCUUCGCUAAACUGGGGCAUCGCGUGGCUGUCUGGGCGGCUACCGGUGCCAGAUCCGGCUGCUGGCCAUCUUCCCCUUCUUGGUGUGCUUCUCCCACAGCGGAUCCUGGCUAUGCCGGCGUGGCUGGCCAGCCCCUGGGCUGUGCCCGAAUCUGGUGGUUGGGAUCCAGACUGGGGGAAACCACUGAUCGGCUCCGGCCGGCGACGACGACGGCGAUGUCCGCAGGCGUCGAGUUUCUUCAUGGAGACGUCGCUCAAGGUCCGCCCUUCCGCUCCCCAACACCUUGCUUCUCUGGUGAAAACCUAACUCUAGUAGGCUACGACGGUGUCCUUGGCGUCGUGACCUUCUUGAAGGCGUCUCCUUGAGAGCUGUGUGGUGGUGGGCACUGUAUGGGGUCGUUGACAGCAGCCAAGGGCGUGUUCUUCGUCCAAGCCUUCACUUUCCUCUGGCGCGUUCUGCCCAAGGGCUGUGUAGCUCGCUCUGCUUUGGAUGAGCCUCGUCGGCACAUUUGGGGUGCUCUGAUCCGCUCUUGGGGUUAUCCGGCGGUUUCCAUCCAUGUUCAUGGGAACUUUCCGUUCUUCGGUGGUACGACACCUUGCGAUUCAGGCAAUCCUUUGAAGACGGAGUUUGGAUGGAUAUCGUGCCGGGGGCCUUAGUGUCUGGUGACGGCAGACCAUGUAGGUGCAUCUGCACUCCCUCUCCAGAGCCGGCUUUGCUUCUGUCCAGAUGUAGUCGUGGUGGAGGACCUCAACUUCUUCAGCUGUGUGCUCCAUUGUAUACCCUUCCUGCUGAAGUGUUUGGGGCUUAUUCGCUGCAUCGUUUGCGACCAUACUUCAUGUACGAUUGCACAUCCAUCUUCGGGCAAGUAUUUCACGGGCAGCACUCAACCUGGUUUCCCGGUACACCGCCGGUGGGGAGAUGAUCUAGGUGGGAUGCUGGAGUUAGAUUUUAUAUAUUUCGAUCGAAGAAAUAGUGAGUCUGCCAACUCUAUUGAAGGAGUCUCCUUUUGUCCCCUAGGGAGCCGAUAGCUAGAGCCAGUGUCUGAACUUGAUGAUCCUGUUGGUGCAGUCUCGGAAACACCUAAUAGACAGUGAACUUGACAAGCCAUGCUAAAGACACUGGGAUCUCGGUAGUAACCGAUGCAGAGUGCAGGCAUCAGUGACUACUGAAGCUGAAGUUAGAGCUAGCAUUGUCAUGGAAGGUCCUAAGCAUGAAUUCUGGGAUUCUGAGGGAAGAGACAGCCGAUGAAGCAAGACGCUGUUGAAACAGCCAAACAUGAAGACAAAAAUUCUGCUGCUGCUUGUACUGGUACUCUGUUUAUGUGACCUACUUGACGCUUGCAAGUCUGCUAGAACUUAGUAUUUGUUAUGUUAUCGCCCAACUAUUGUUCAUGGUUACUGGUAUGAGCUUUUAUAGAUGAGAUGAAGUAGUUCUCUUGUCGGA